rnacentral:rRNA from 1 species
CGCGUAGGCUGCGGGGCAAGUCGGGUGUGAAAUCUCAGGGCUCAACCCUGAAACUGCACUCGAUACUGCUCUGCUUGAGGACUGGAGAGGAGACUGGAAUUCACGGUGUAGCAGUGAAAUGCGUAGAGAUCGUGAGGAAGACCAGUGGCGAAGGCGGGUCUCUGGACAGUUCCUGCGCUGAGGCGCGAAGGCCAGGGGAGCAAACG